rnacentral:snRNA from 1 species
GGAUGUGAGGGUGAUGGGGUUGGCUAGGCCGGUGACCCCUUCAUUUCUCACAGCUCCCUGUGUGUCUCUAUGGAAGCCGCAUGCUUGGUCAAAGAGGACGACCUUCCCUAACUAGAGUCUUCGGUCAAGGGCACACAAGUAGCUACGCUCCCCUGCUGGAACCCCCAAACAACCUCUCAGGAGGAGAACCUGCACACAUUCGGCAGACCAAACCUUUGCAGGGCAAACUGUGCUU